GCAACUACAACAGCUCUCUUCGAAGCAAAGAAGAAAUAAAGUAGCGAAAACGGCGAAUUGUAGGUGCACAAUUAACGAGAAGGUACUAGAUUUCUCUCUUUUUUUGUUGUAUCUUCUACUCUUUUGCGUUC
rnacentral:ribozyme from 14 species